GAAAACCAUGGUUAUGGUUUUUUAUUUAAGAUUUUAAUGUGAUUAAGAUUAGGAUGUACGUUAUUGAUCAGCUUAUGUGGUCUAUUUUACUAAAUGAAUUAUGAUAACAAUAAUAUAACUAAGGUUUUGACCUGUGAGAGGUGAUUGCCCUUGUCCUGCUUCGUAAGGAUUUUUAAAAAAAAAAAAAAAAAAAGUAAACAGUAAAUAGUUUUAUAUCUGAUUUAAGAUCUGAAAACAGAAGCGGUCUCCUGUUUUGAUAAACAAAGAGUGAAAAAGAGGGAAUAUAUUAUUGCAGAGAGUAGGAUAGAGGAGGAAGAUGAUAGAAGAAGGAAGGAGGUCUAUGACCAGACCACUUUCAAUCACAGAAUAAAAUCCACAUAUUCUCUGUUUUUUCCCUGCAGUGUACACAGCCAUUUCAACCUCAGCUGCCCUGCUUUCCUAGUCUUGCUAGGACUCUUUCCAAAAAGAAAUAUACUGCAGUGUGCACAGCUAUUUUAACCUCAGCUGCCGUGCUUUGCUAAUCUUGCUAGGACUCUUUCCAAUAUGAAAUAUACUAAUCCUAAACAUCCGUCUAAACAUAGGCAUACUUGAAAACUCGAAAACUAUGACUAAAGUAUAGAACAGCCUAGUUACUGUUCACAGCAUUGUAGCAUGAAUAGUAGCCAUGAGCAGUUCAUUAUAAUUUAUUGACCCACUAAAUAAUGACUAAAGAAAAACUGAAAAAUAAAAUAAAACUCCAGCAACUUGAAACUUCAAAAUUUGGUUGCACUCUACUUGCUUCCAAACACAUGCUGGCAUCUCAAGACAACAUAUAAGUUUUCCAGACAAAGAUCUUGCAAUAUCAUGAAUCUUGAAUAAGAGAUAUUAGCAUGUAGCUCUAGAAUGUAAGGCGUUAGUAGGUUUUCCAGAUAGCGACACAUUAAGCAGGUGUAGGGAGAUUUGCCAUCAAUGGAGCACACAUGGUAUACGACGAGCCACCUAUUUGAGAUGGAACCAAGUUUUCAUUACUUUAUAUUCAGAAUUUCAAUGGUUCUAGGAUCUUUGAUGAAUAUAUUGAAAGACCUAGUAAAUUGGUGAUAUUGUUAAUAGAUUCUGAAAGAUGGUAAUGUAUUCCAUGAAACAAACUCCAUCAUCUUUAAAUUAUUCAAGUAUUUGAUAAGUAUCUACAGUGCUUGAUGCAUAUCCAACUCAUUGAUUAUUUGUCAUUGAUUAUUUGUUUGCAUGGUUUUUCCAAGUUGGACAGGAGAAUCUAGGAAACUAUGUAUUUGCAAAGGGAAGGAUCAAGGUCUGUAAAAUCGGCACCGAGAAUCGUACUAAUAUGUUACUACAUUGGUAUGGUACUGUAUGCACCUUAUAUUGAGAUAGGCUUCUAACAAUUUUCCUCACUGCCAGCCAUGUUAUCGCCUGAAACCUAGUGGUAUGGGUUGGUAUUGGGCGGUAUGGGAUGGCUUUGCUUGGUUCAGAUUAGUACGGACUGAUUCAGUUCAUAUAGUGAACCGAGCCUUACUAUUUUCUUGAUGUUUUAUUGGUACGGUGGAUAUGGGGUGGUAUUGAAUGGUAUGUCAAACCUUGUAAAGGAUAUUGCCAGAAUGUUGAAUGGGGAAAAGUUUGAAGUCAUGGGUUUGCAUUGGGGAGUGGGGGUUAACCAUGCCAUUGUAGUCAUGAGUUAAUGAUAUUUGGUGCAUAGAGUUGGACAAAAGAAUAAUACAAGGAAUAGGGUUACAUUGCUAAAGAGAGUAGACUAGGAAAGAAGUAUAAAGUUGUACUAGUGCCGCUCGGCAUGAGCAGCGUGUUUUAAGACAAAAUGAGAUAAAUAAUCAGAAUUGAAGAAUACGUGAUAUCGAGGACUUUGACAGAUAUAGGAAGGCUGAAAAUGAUGCAAAAUGGUAAUGAUUUAUAUGAUAGAUUUCAUCUUUUGGAAGUAAGAAUGAAAUGUACUAAUAAUCAAAGUACAGGGGAUGGUAUUUUGAGAUAUAAGAUCAAGUAAAAUGCAUUAAUGGGCCAACUUGUGAAGUUCAGGAUGUAGAACCUUGUGAAGCAUUACGAAAUUAAAGAAGAAUGAAAAGGUAAUUUUCAAAAACCAUUAAAUGAGGUAUAUAAGAGGAUGCAAAGGUUAAGGCACUUGAGCUAAAUGAAAUAACAAUUGAGGUUUGGAACAUGAAGGGAGAUGGAUAAUGGGCUAACUUGUCUUACUAGUUUAUUUAACGAGAUUUUAAAAUCUAAGAAAAUGCCGAAUGAUCAGAAAAGUAGUAUAUCACUCAUCUGUGAGAAUAAAAUGUUUGUAAGAAUCUUUUCUAAUUGUGAUGGGAUUAAAUUCAUGAGUCACUCUAUAAAGUUGUGAAAAGGGUGUUAGAACAAACAUUAGGAAUAGUGGCUACAAUUUCUGAAAAUCAAUUUGGUUUUGUGUAAAAAAUGUCAACAAGGGAAACUAUUACCUGCUUUGUGAAACACCAAUUCCCUCUUGGAUGGUUUUCUUAGGAGGAAAUAAUUGGAAGUUUGUUCUUGGGGCAAUUGUAGAAACAUAUAAUUGAAGAGGCAAAGGUCUACUUAUGGUGGUUAUCAACUUCGAGAAAACUUUUGAUAGGAUGCUAGAAUAAUAAUUGGGUAAGCUUUAUGAAGGAAACAUGUGCAGAAACAAUAACUAUAUCAAGGAUAACCAAUGGAGGUAUUUAGUGCAAGUAGAAGAAUGUAAAAAAAGGAAAGGUCUAGAAAUUGUAUUUAUCAACUUGGAGAAAACUUAUGAUAGUGGGUACCAAGGUUUUAAGUCUCAUGGGAUAGGGCUAUCUCGAUUUUCCCAUAGAAUGGGAUUCGUUGCUGUCUCGCCCCAUCUUGACACUUGGGACAGAGAAUGUCCCAAGGCAUCCCGAUCGGGACACUGGGAUGCUAGUGAGAUGACCAUGUCCCAACACAUUAGAUGGUACCCUGUCUCAAUGUCUCAUGGGACGUCCUGCUGCAACUUGAAUCCCUGGUGGGUACUAGAAAAGUAAUUUGGUUGCUUUUAUUAAGAAAGAUUAUACAUCAAGAUUUGUCUUAUCAGUCGGUACCGAGGUGACUAACUGUACCAUAUCGGUACUGAACCAGGACAUGGUAUGGGAGGUAUACCAACAUUUCGUAUGCCAAAUCAGAUAUCAUACCAGGCACAUUGACACUAUAAUAGGAUGGUAUUCAUAUGUUGGAGCUAUUAUAAGUGCUGAGAGUAGUUGUGGUGCCACAAGUGUUUUUCUAACACAAGGGGCUUAGAAUGCAAUAAUCAAUAUCUUUUUAUUCAUAACCAUAAUAAAUUUACUCCUGAGUUUUGGGAAGAUGUAUCAUGAAACAUGUUAUUCGCAAAUGAUUGUAGUGUUGAUUGAUGAGAAAAGAGCAAGACUGCAUGUUGAAUUAGAUUGGAAAUAAAGCCUUAGAGGAUAAGGUCUUAAAAAUUAACAAAACAAAAGUAAAUUUCAUGGAAUGCAAUUUUGUGAAAAUGGAAAUGAGGGUGAAACCCCAAACAAGAAUGUUGAGAGUUGAGACAAUAGAUACAAUUGAGCGAUCGCAGUGGUUAUUCUAGGAUCUAUUAGUUUAAGGGUGUGAUGCAUAAUGACAGGUAACGGAAUUAUAGCUGAUUGGGUGAAGGGGAGAGGUGGGGUACUGGAUCAUUAAGGCGUGCCUUUGCAACUUGAAUUACAAUGCUGUCAGAAUGUUCUACAGCUCAGAAGGUUGUCCAAUAAAGAACAUUCAAGAAACAAGUUUAAUGGAGUAGAAAUGAGAAUUUUGAGAGGGAUUGGAUACAACUAAUGUAGAUAGAGUAAGAAAUGAGUAUAUUAGAGGAGUUAUAAGUGUUACACUGAUGCUGACCAAAAUGAUAGAGAAGCAAUUGAGAUGAUAUGUGCAUGUGCAACAAAGAUUUGGGAGCACUUUGGUGAGGGAGGGUAAGGGAAAAGAAAGGGAGGAUUCAAGCCAACAUGGUUGGAAGUUGUGAGAAAGGAAAUGAAAAAGUUUGUAGUAACAUUAGAGGUUGUUUUAGGUAGGAAACGUAAGCAAAUGAGGACUGAAAGAUGAAUCCAAAUAGUUAACACAUGGCUUGAUGGUUAUGUUUAUGGUUAAUAUGAAUUAGUAAAGAGUAUAGAGUUGUCAAAUAUAACAUUAUGGCUCUUACUUUCCAUAUUUUGUUGGUGAUAUAGCUUAAAUGGUUUUAUAUUUUAUCAAACAUUGGAUUAUACUAUUUUUAUCCUGAUCCUACGGUCUGGUCCAGAUUUAGGAGGGGCCUGUUUGAACCAGGUUGCAGGAUUUAAAUUGUAGACCGUAAAGACCUGACAAAUCUUGUCAUGAUAAACUGUAAUGAUGUCCUUGAUAUUUGUACUAUCAAGAGCAAGAUUUUAAAUCCCAUGGGACGGAAGUGUCUCAAUAUCUUUAUGGAAUGGGACGCCCUGCUGUCCUAUCCUGUCCCGUCCCGAUAGCAAUUUCGGUCAUGCAUCCCGAUAGAUAUUCUUCAUCUCUCUCUCCCUUCUUUUUUUUUUUAUUUCUCUCUUCUUUUUCUACCUUCCUUUCUUUCCUUUUGUUCUUUCUUUUUGUCAUCCUUUCCUUUUUUUUCUUUUUUCUUUUUUUCUCUCUUUUCUUCCUUUCUUUUUCUUCUCCCUUCCCUUCUUUCUUUCAUUUUUCUUCUUCUUUCCUUUCACUUUUUUCUUUUUUCAUCUUCCUUUUUUUUUUCCCUCUUUCUUCUUCUUGCUCUAUAUGGAUGGGUUUUGAAGUCCGACCCUAUCCCGAUCCCAUUUUCUCAUAGGGACAGGACACGACGGCCGGGAUGCCCCGGUCCCGCCGGGACAUAAAACCUUGAUCAAGAGGUUGGAUCUGUUCUUGGCUUAAAAUACAAGGUCUAGUCCCUUGAACAAAUGGGUCUUGGCCUGGCAUGGUUGGCUGUUGAAUGGCAACUGUUUGGCUGUGGGCUGAGCCAAGUAGCAGCAUGGUUGCUGUGGUCAAGAAACAGGAGUUGGUGUUGACAUCAAGGCUUUAACAAGGACUGCUAGUUGAGAAACAAUGCAGGAUCUAGUUUUUUUGUUGCAUUUAUUAGGAAAUAGAAGGCAGUGAAGUAGCUUGACAGAUAAAUUUGGGUUGAAAAGAGUAGGACAAGCAAAACUUGACCUUAUUGAUGCUCCAAGCUACUAUGAUUAUCUAUUGCAGAGCAGAUUUGAGUUCUGAAACUGGAGUUGUAGAUUUGUUUGAGAUUCAUAUAGUCUGGCUGUUCCUUUUUAGUGAGAUGGGGCUAGGAAUUGUACUUAUGCAUUAUGAUAAUAUUAACCCUUGCUUUUUCAUAGUUAACAAACUGACUGUUAGGCCUGCAACCAGCUCAAUUAUCAUCAAGGUUGAAAAAAAACACAUGCAUUUUGAGCAUGGCCUAUGUUCUUUCAUGCCAAUUUUUUAUUGCUUGAGCAGUCUUAAGAGCCCGUUGGGUCCACUCAAUGAAUCAAUGGUCCUUGUUAGUUUCAUGUAUGUCUAUUUAUAUUUUACUGCAAAUUGUCAUAAAAUCCAUGAUUUAAGAUGAACUGAAGAUUACCUCGAUGAUUGAAACCCCUCUGCCUAGCAACUAGAGAUUCUGGAUUCGAUUCUUGGAUGGUGCAUCCCCAAAAAACUAGACUUGGUAAUUAAGGUGUAGGUAGGUCUCAUUCCCUUUCGGUAGAAAAAAAGCUAUGAUUUGAGGCAGCACAACUUUCUAGUUGCAUGACAGGGUAGACUUCAGUUAGGCAUCCUGCAACAAGAGUCAGUUGAAGAUUAACUAUUACAGUUAUAUUUUAGAGUUCAUUUAGAAGGUUACUGAACCGCUUUUGCCAAUUGAUGGGUAAGGGGUAGCCAGAGUUUGUGAGGUCAGCCAAGGUAAGUAUUGUGGUCAAGCCACCUUUGAGUCCACAAACCUUCAGAUCAAGAUAUGAUGUCACUUGACAUUAGUCGAUUCAACCUAACGUGCGAAGCAUUGCCCUCAUACAAAAUGUAAGGGGCCUUACUUAUCUAGAAUUCCUACUGCAGCUUUAAGCCAUUAAGCUGAUAUUGUAUCCAUGCUACUGAAACUGUAAUUACUUGCAUAAAAGGGCUUCUGUUUGCUUUUUCUCAAAGCACAGCACUACCACCAGCAGCACCCAUCAUGCGACAGGUCAUACUACUGAAAUUUUAAUUUUGUAUAUCCAUUCCCUAUCUUUUUUAACAGCAUUCUUGCUCUUGUGGUCAUCUUCAUGGAUUCUCACAUGUUCAAGUGUUUGACAAGUAUUUUCAUAUAUUGCCAGUGGAUUUAUUUAUUAAAGCAAAAUUGAAUUCUUUACAGGAGUUUCUGGUCAGUUCAACAAAAGCCAUAACCUCCAACAGUCAGCUUUAAUGCUUAAGCUGAUGCUAUAGCUUUGCCUAAAUUUCUUAUUUGGAUUAACUGCAAGUUGUGUCAUGAAACAAGAGUAUUAACUGUCUCCUAAACUCAAAAAGCAACAUGAAGAUGUAAAUUGUGGGUUUCAGAGAUGGAAAAAUUGCCUUGGGACAAAUAUUAUCAGUUUCUAGCAGGGUACCUGUGAGGAGGAUUGCUUAUCGACUGACAUUGAAUUAUCACUUAUACAUUGUGUCCAUAUGCAGAUCAUGAUGUUCCAAACUAGAAUAUUGUUGGGAGGAAUGAAUGUAUAUGAUCGAUACCAGGAUUGGCGGCUUGAUGUUGAUAAUAUGUCAUAUGAGGUGCUUAAUUUUCUCCUCCUGGAUUUCUCAUUAUUGUUCUGGCUGCACACUUGCACUGGGUGAUGAUGUUGGAUUUCUGAUUUUUGUUUUCUGUUUCAACAGGAAUUGCUUGAGCUAGGUGAUAGGAUUGGAUAUGUGAGCACCGGGUUGAGAGAGGAUGAGAUCAUUCGCAGUCUCAGGAAAGUUAAACGUUCGACUUUUGAUGCUUCAACCAUACAAUUCUCAUCUGAAAUGGAAUGGAAAUGCAGCAUUUGUCAAGUAAGUUAUUUCUAUCUUGGAUCUACUCAGUUACCUUGGAGUUUUCAUUUCAUUCACAUUUUGAGGUUGAGUGCUUCAUCUUCUGUGGUACAGGAAGAAUAUGACGCAAAUGAUGAAAUGGGAAAACUGGAGUGUGGUCAUAGCUAUCAUAUAUGUUGCAUAAAACAGUGGCUCUCUCAGAAGAAUGCUUGCCCUGUGUGCAAGACAGCCGUGCCUAAAGGCUAGUGCAGACUGAUGCAGCAGCAGGACUGAGAUCACCAUUUCUCCUCCCUCCUGUGUAUAGCUUUUGGGCUUUGGCCCCAAGAUGAAGAGAACAUUCAUUUGUAGUUUUGUUUGGUGAUAGAAAUGUGGUGGCUCCAUGGCCCUUGGUUGGAUUGGCCAUAACCUUCAAUUUGUUCUGGUUCAGAUAAAAUUGAAUCCAUGUAUUUACUGUUUGUUUGAACAAACAACCAUUUUAUAUAUGCCUUGAUGUAGUUUUGUGAUUCGGCUUGAAUCCAAAAUGCUUGCACCAAAAAAAUUGUAAGAAAAGAACAUUUGAAUUAUGCAACUCAUUUCGGAUUUUUACAUCUGUAGGUUGUUUGCGGAAGGUUAACUACACCAAUGUGUAAUGAGAUAUCUGUAGUUCAAAGAGGGAAAGUAUGUGUUUGAUGCUGUUUUAGACACUUGCCUCUCCUACACUGUACGUCUUUUACAGUGCUCUUCACUUCCUCUACUUUUUCAAGUCAUGCCUGCGCUUGAAGCUCUGCUUAGGUCUCUAUGAUUAUAACCAAAGAGAUCUGAUUAUAUAUUUAUUUUUCUACCAUCCUUAAGCUUAAAUAAUCCAAAGUCGUUGAUUGCGAUGUGGGAAAGGCUGGGACCUGGUUGGGUUGGGAAGUAUUUCAUAAUUUGCACGAUUGGUAACCUCAAUGCACGAGGUGCCGAUGAUAAAAUUUAAUCCGUUCAAAUAAUUGGUGUUUGCUAGAGCUCCCAUCCAAAGGCGUGCCAUGGUGAAAUGGGUACUCAAUGAUGGAUUGUUGUUCCGGUUAUAACAGACGCUGUCUGCCUCAAAAAUUAGCAUUUUAAAUUUUUAAUAUUUAUAUAAUAUUUGUUAUGCUUGCUGUUAUGAUAGUGCUGUAACGGAAAACAAUUAUGGCCAAUCCCUUCAACACUGCCGACUGCCCUAGGUGACGAAGGGCUGCACGUGGUUGCUGAUGGGAGAAGGGCUGAAGAAGCAAUGCAAUCCCUGUUUCAUAACCGUCUUUCAACUCUGGCUCCAAGCUGAUGCUGGAAAGAAAGGCAACCAUCAAUCAUGCCUCCUACGAAUGAGUUAUGAAACCACAUCUAAUUACUCAUCUGCCUCAGCAACUUUCUUUUGCCAGUCUAUAUAUAAAAAUAAUGGUUAAAAGUGAAGUGUCCAUGCAACCGGUCUCAUAACGGUCUAAACCCCAUGAACCAAGCCACCACAGGGCAAGCAAGCCACAAACAUGAUAAACUGCAUUGAUCACAGCAGACUCCUGUUUACUUGGUUAGAAAGGUUUCUAAGACCUCGUUAAACAUUUAGGUCCCGAAAACGUUGGUUGCUAGGCCCAGCUCUUUGUAACUCUUUUAACUAGGAACCUGUCUCCACACACAAGCAUUCAUGUCAACCGCACGUGAUGGCACCACCAAACAACCUAGCAACCUACCAUUAAGCAGCACCAAGCAAAACCUUGCGGGGCACCCCUGUAGCAUGAGACACCACCACCAAGGCCUCAAACACAAGGAAAUAAAAAGAAAAAAAGAUAAAUUGUUGCAUGGAUUGUCUUAUGCAUGCAAGACAUCAACUCCAAUCACAUUAUUGUGGUUCUGUUUCCAAAACAUUUACUUUUUUAAACCAUAUACAAGACAGCUACAGAAGCAUGACAUGGUUUUGAUCUAUAGAAACAAUUUACAGGGUGGACUGAUCAACAAUUUUUGAUGACAUAUGAAACGUAUGUCAUAAUAUGUGGGCACCUAGAGGCUUCAUGUUCUUUACCACUAGUGCUACCCAUUCAAGGACGUCAGUCUAGAAUCACCAACCUUUAUCCCAAUACUCCAAUGAUGAGAAACCCUCAAUAUGUCAAACGUAUAUGGAAAGGUACCCGAUUGGAUCGACACAGGAAUCAGGUCUCUGAGUUCCGAUGUGAAUCUUAAGACAAGGAGAGCUUGUCAUGCUGAGAAAGAAACUUUAUAAUGCAGGGAUAGACUUCAUCAAUUGCCUGCAUCAAGAAACCAAAAUAACACAAGGCAUGAGCAAACUUUCAAAUGCAUCACCUAUUUGUAAUGUAGUGAUGGACCAGCAGCAUACCAGCCGCCCGCCCACCAAAUCGUAGUGAGCAUAAUGUGGGCCACCUGCUUUUCCAAAUAUUUUGUAUGUGACCAUAUGCUGAGGGAUGAUUUUGACAGUUCCUGCUCAUCAAUGGAAAAGUUUAGUUGAUUCCCAUUAGGUAUAACAACUAUUCUGUAAGUUCUUCGUGUUUACCGUACACUGCUUCAGGAGGACAAAUCAAAUCCUGGUCUCCUGCCAAUGCCAGGACAGGGACAUUGCAUUUAUGCAGAUGAUCCUUGUAAAAAAAAGUGCCAGUUCUGUUGCAUAGCCCUCCAUCACGGAAAGCAGUUGUCAGCUGUAGGACAACCUUGGCAGGUACAGUACCUUCAAAUUGUAAUUCAUUCCAAGCACAAAAAAAGAUAAUGUCUGGUUACUAGAUACAUUGCAAUUUGUCAAAAAAAAAAAACUUNNNNNNNNNNNNNNNNNNNNNNNNNNNNNNNNNNNNNNNNNNNNNNNNNNNNNNNNNNNNNNNNNNNNNNNNNNNNNNNNNNNNNNNNNNNNNNNNNNNNNNNNNNNNNNNNNNNNNNNNNNNNNNNNNNNNNNNNNNNNNNNNNNNNNNNNNNNNNNNNNNNNNNNNNNNNNNNNNNNNNNNNNNNNNNNNNNNNNNNNNNNNNNNNNNNNNNUCAAAAAAUUUUCAAAAAAAGUAACCCAUGCAAAGAUAUUAUACACUGUACAAUAGAUUCAAAAUAAAAAGAUAAUGUCUGGUUACUAGAUACAUUGCAAUUUGUCAAAAAAAAAAAACUUUGGUAUUUAGGAAAAGAUAGGAACAAAAUUGGAGUAGAAAUUAUUGCAGAUAAGAGCUUAAAAUAUGAGAUUGUAGAUAAUAAAAGAGUAGGAGAUCGAAUAAUCAUGAUAAAUUUGAUGUUAGCAGAGGAAUCUAUUAACAUCAUUAGUGCUUAUACUCCUCAAGUAAAAUUGGAUGAUGCUACAAAGCAACAUUUUUGGGAGGCUAUGAAUAGACUACUUUAAGAAAUUCUUAAUGGAGAAAAGAUUUUUAUCGAAGGAGAUUUGAAUAGGCAUAUGGGAAAAUAUGGUGUAGGUUUCGAAAGGAUUUAUGGAGAUUAUGGUUUUAGAUAAAGAAACAAGAAAGGAUAUUGCUAUUUUGGAGUUCGCAAUGGCAUAUGACCAAGUAUUAGCUAACACAUGCUUUAAAAAGGAUCUUGCUUGAUCACUUUAAAAGUAGGUACAAUACUAGUCAAAUAGAUUUCACAAAUUGAGUUUUUUGAUGGAGAUCAUAAAGUUAUACCAACGAAAGUUUAACCUUUCAACAUAGACUGGUUCUUUCAGAUAUAUGAAUUAGGAAAUGGAAAAGGACUAGAGAAAAUAAGAAUUCGAGGACUAGGUAGUGGAAUAUGUGAGGAGAGAAACAAAUGACUUUUAAAGAGUCAAUGUUGGAUAAAGAAAAAUGGGGUAUAGAUGGAAAAAUCAAUCCCACGUGGGAAGAUAUGGCUAACAAUAUAAAAAAAAGUGGCUAUAGAGAUUCUAGGAGAAUCAAAGAAACAAGACAAUCUGCUAAAGAAACUUGAUGUCGGAAUAAGAAAGUUCAGUUGGUGGUUAAGGCUAAAAGAGCUGUUAUAGAAGAUUAUCCAAAUAUAAACCUAGAGAAACAUAUGAAAACUAUAAGGUGACUAAAAAGGAGGUUAAGAAAGUAGAACAAAUGGCUAAAUUCAAAGCAUGUGAAAAGUUAUAUUGCAAGUCAAAAACUAAGGAUGGAAAGGAAGAUAUCUAUAAAAUUGCAAGACUAAGAGAAAGGAAAAUAAGAGACCUGACUCAGAUUAAAUGCAUCAAAGAUGAAGAUCAAAAAGCUUUGGUUAAGGAGGAUGAGAUCAAAGAAAGGGAAGUUAUUUUGGUAACCUAUUGAAUAGAACUCAUGAAGACAAUUUAGGAUGCCUUACUAGUUCUAUUGAAAAUAAAAAUGUUAAGUAUACACAUAGGAUUAGAGUAUCUGAGAUAAAAGAGACAGAAAAAAAUGAAACUCUGAAGAGUGGUUGGACCUGACAAAAUCUCUACUCAGAUUUGGAAUGUUUAGAUGACAAGGAAGUACUUUGGUUAACUAAUUUAAUUAAUAAGAUUUUAAAGACCAAGAAGAUAUCUGAUGAAUGAAGGAAAAGCAUUAUAAUACCGAUUUAUAAAAACAACGAUAAUAUAAAAAAUUAUUCAAAUCAUCAUAGUAUUAAUCUCAUAAUCCAUAUUAUGAAAUUCUGGAAGAAGGUGAUUGAGUAUAAAUUGAGAUGUAAUAACACAGAAAUAUCAGAGAACAAAUUUCAUUUUAUGCCAAGAAGGUCAAACUUUGGAAACUAUUUUUCUUCUUUGGAGGUUAAUAGAGGAACAUUGAGAAAAAAGACAAAAUCGUUAUAGGGUUUUAUGUUUUAGAAAAAGCAUAUGAAAAAUCCCUAGAAAAGUCAUACUGUAGGUGUUAGAAAAAAAGGAAUGUUCAUAGUUAUUUUAAUGUAAUUAAGGACAUAUAUGAUGGAGCAGUUACUAGUAUGAGAACUACAUGUGGUAAUAAUACUGUCUCAAAUCACAUUAGGUUUACAUCAAUGAUUUGCCUUUUAGUCCUUAUCUUUUCGUGCUUGUCAUGGAUGAGCUUACCAGGUAUAUUCAGGACAAUAUUCUUUGGUGCUUGCUAUUUGUAGAUAAUCUAGUCUUAUAAAAUGAAGCAAAGGUUAAAGUAAAUCAUAAAUUGGAAUUAUGGAGGAGCGCAUUAGAUUCCAAGUAUUUCAGGUUAAUAGGCUUAAGAUGGAAUACAUGGAAAAUUUUAGCAAAAUUAAAAAUAGAGAUAAAGGUGGACUGAAAAUUGAGAAUCAUGAAAUUUCCAGUAUUUAGGUUUGAUUAUUCAUAAGGGAAGAUUGAAGAGGAUGUUAUCCAUAGGUGGAUAAAAUGAAGAACUGCAACUAAGAUAUUACGUGAUUGUAGUACCUACCAAAUUGAAGAGAAAAUUUUAUAGGACAGAUAUGACCUGUUAUUCUUAUAUAGUGUAGGAUGUUGAUAGUUAGAAAACAAUAUAUACACAAGAUAAGUGUGGUCAAAAUAAAAUUGUUGAGAUGGAUGUGUGGUAACAUAAGAAAAGACAAUACAAAAUGAAGCCAUUUGUAAAAAAGUAGAGGUAGCAUCAACUAAAGACAAAUUGAGAGAAGAAUGACUUAGAUAGUUUGGAUGAUGGAUGCACUAGGACGAAGUGUGAUUUGAUAAAUGUAAAAAAGAAAAAGAGGGACGGAGGUAGACCAAAAUUGCAUGGGAUGAAGUAGUAAAGGAGAACUUUGUAUCACUGCAUCUUUCUAAAAACAUGGCCCUAAAUAGAGCAGAAUGGAGGAAAAGGCUUCAUGUAGCAGCUUGGUUAGUUUAAGGCUUAGUUGAGUUGAGUUGAUCUACUUAACAUGGGAAUUUCUUUACUCUCUAGACAACUCAGAAUGAAAAAAAGAACAAAAGGACAAAAAAGAGUUGACUAAUAUUUUAUGUAACAUAGAAUAAAACAUGCCCCUAAAAUAUGGAUUAUGACAAAUGUUAACAAUUGGAUGAUUGUCAUCUUUCUUUUCCUUUUUUUUUCAUCUUUUGAGAAAGUUAUCAUUCAUUGAAUUGAUGCAUAGGAAGUAAACAAGUUUAGAAAUAUUUUUUUUGGUACAUAACAAGUUUAGAAAUAUUAAUCAUUUCAAUAACAGAGAAUGGUUUUAGGAAAAAAAAAAACUAAAGCCUUCUAAAAUUCAAGGGGCAUCUCCAAAAUGGAUGCAAUCAGCAGCACAGAUAAGUACACAAUAAAAAUUCUCCCUAGAAAACACAAAAUUCAGAAGAAAAACUUACACACACACACACAUCUAGGAGAAAAUUUUCCACUAGGAGGCAAAAAAAUGGACCCAAAUAUAUGAAUAUCUCAAAUAAUUAGUGUAUUUGCACAUCAUUGAAAAAUUUAAGGUGGAGCUAACCAUGUGACUGGGUUUAGAACUUUAGAUUAACCAAAACUAUCAAAUGAUAUAAUUUUAGGUUGAAGGCAAGGGGCAUAAAAAGUUUCCACUUACAAAAGUUGUUUAAGACAAGCUUUGCAAACAACUCAGGAUGCAUCAUGUCCUGUGCUGAAAUUUGAGGAUUGAGCCAUGACAAAACAUAAGGUGGACGAGAUGAUAAAGGAUAAGCAGCUGCCAGUAAUGCUCCUAAUGGGACGACAGGAACAUUUAAAGCUUGUGCAGGAUCAGCCUAUAAAAAAAACCAGUUAAGAUUAGUUUCUCCAUCAUUCUCUCCCAAUAUCAAAAACACAAACACAAGCUUUUCCAAUUAAACAGUGCUUCUUCCACUUACAAGAGGCAAUAACAACUUGAGUGAAGAUCUAGAUGAUGUGUAGUCAACAGAUGAUGCUAAAGUCACAACUGCUCCCAAUCCAGAUUGUACUCCUUCAAAACCUAAGAAAAUAAAAAGACAAAAAAAGAAAAUGAGAUGAAAUAAAGUACCAAUAACUUCUUGAAGAUUCACUGAUCCUCAGAUAAAUCUUAACUCCCAAAACAGUGAUGAAAUAAAGAAAAAAUUUGAUGGGGACAACUCUUAUAUUGGUGGCGCUCAUAGAUCAAGUUGAAUUUCUCAAUGCCAGCAGAAAUGUUACAAAGAACACAUGAUCAAGAUUCAAGACUGGAGCCCUAUAGUACAUGGUAGACGAAACAAACACAGAGAAAAUAACUGUGAAGAAUGAUUUUGAAAAGUAUGGGUUCAGAACAUGAUAAAAUGUCCAUGCUGACUCAAAUUUAGUAAACCAAAAUUUCAAUUAUUGUUGGUUAAAGUGGUUUGGUCAAUCAUAGCAUGAUCUGAUUUACAUUAAAAUACAAACUUAUACUUUCUUACUAGAAAUAUAUAGCAGAAUGGGCCCGAUCCAUUCCAUCUAGUGAUUACUAAAAACAGUAAUUGUAUUAAAAAUAUUAAAACACCUAAUAUGGUAGGAGCUAUUCAUUCAUCUACUUUCAGAUUGAACAAGAACAGUGUUUGAAAUCAGAAUGCAUACCGAGUUAUACGCCCAUGGAAUAGUAAAAAGUGAGCUAGUGUAUGUCAGAAACCAGAUAACAUGAACUAACAUGACAGGAACAUUAACCAUAGAACAAGGGUUAUUAUUAGUGCUGAAAAAGCUCCACCAGUAACUGAAAUACAAUAAUACCAACUAAAGUACGAAUAUUCCGCAUGAACUCUUUGAUAUUGACUUCAAGACAGAGUUGGUGACCAAGUUCAGGACAACAGAUACAUUUCCACAGCUAGACAGGUUUAUAUGUAAAGUAACUAGCAAAACCUGGUGUUCAACAAAAUAUGUUCUCCAAUUUAGGAAAAAAAAAUGCUGCAACUAAUAUAAGCCAUUCAUCUGGGCAUGUCAUUGGGUUAAAACCUCUGUGGCUUUAUCAUUAUAGCAAGAGGAAAACAUAACCAAUUAUGUCUCAAAGCUACUUCACCAUUACCAAAACCAAAUAUAAAUCCUGAAUAUUUGUUACCUUGACCACAAUACAAUUAUUUCACUAAGAAAAACAGAAAGAUAGGUAUUGAAUGAAUGAUAUAAUAAGCAUUUGUGUGCAUGUUUGAAGCUGAAGCAUCUACCUCCAUGCAUAUAUUGCAUGUUAAAAAAGCAUGAUAUAAUUAUGAGAAUUUAUAUGCAAAUCAUAGAUGAAGUGAGGAUAAACUGGCAAGAAGCUAUUCAAUAUACAAAAACUAUGAUACAAAACUCACGCCAUCAGUAGGCGGAUAAGCAAGGAAAGCUACCACAUUUUGACAGCAUUGCAUACAACAAUAUUCCCCCCAUGGAGUGACCAAUAGCAAGCAAUUUUCCAUCCUUCGCCUUGCUCUGAAGCUUUAUAUAUUCCAUCUGCAGAUGAAGAUUGGUGUAAUUCCUCAGAUAUACCAGCGCAGGGUUAGUUAUAAACUAGAAUAAAGGUACUAUGAUCAAGUAACACAAAAGCUAGAGUGGAAGAAAACUUUCAUCAAGAACACAACAGAAAUUCUCAUAAUUAAGUCUACUAUAGCAAGGGGAUGUGUCACCUCACCGCAGCAGGAACAUCCUCUUCAAGGUAGUGGUCAAAGUCCCAAUCAUAUGUAACAAUCAGAUCAAGCUGCUUCUGGAAAUCUUCAAUGGUUGCUGAAAGGCGCUCUUGCAAGUCAAACAGCUGUGGUGAAACAGAUCGUUGACCUUCCUCAAUAAUAUUUAUAAGUCGCUGACUUAGAUCCCUGAUUUGACCAGCAACAGAAGAAUUUUGCCUCGCUUCUAACAAACCUGAAAUUUUGUCUGUGAUCUCAUUAAACCGUUCAGAUAAUCGAGCAUCUUCCAGAAGUUUGGAAACUCGAUCAAAGAAUUUAGCAGAGGCAACCCUUAAUUGACCUUCAUUUAGAUAACCUGAAAGCUUUUCAGCCAAAUGCAUCAAAGUAGCUGUUAGUUUUGUUACUAAUUGUGAUUCAUCCAAAGGAACUAAAUCUGCCUUUUUGUCAUUUUUCACGGAGAUUUCAGAAUCUGGCAUUGGACCAGCUUUUACAAUUGAAUAUUCCUCUACAGGCAUAUCAAUGCUUAAGUUGUACUUGUCAACAGAAUUUGGACUACUUAUAACAGGUUUACCGGAAGACUGAUCAAUUGCCUCGGAUUCAGUUACACGUGUACUUAAGCCAGCACCUCUAACUUCCACAAUCCAUGUAUCAAAUCCUUGGCUAGCCAUGUGACGAGCAAAUGAAACCUGAGUACAGUUUUUAUGCAUCAGCAAAAAGCAGAAAAUGGAUAGAUUAAAUGAUAAUGAUAAUACAACAACUCUCAAUAAUCACAAGCACAAAAAGAAGAAGUUUUUAUGAUUUUAUGGCAGAAAAUUUAGUUACAUUUUGAGUUUGAGUUUCAGAGAUAUGCAAAUAAAAACAUGAACAUAUAAAGCAGGAUUGAUGGAAGGGGCACAUUGAUCUUUGAACCCUCAUCAAACAGUUCAAGAUCACUACCACCAUCACAUUAAAAAAAUUAGGUUAAUAAUUAUCAAGCAUUUACAAUGAUUAGAAUCUGAAAUGCAGACGAUACAGGCAACAUAGUAGAUUGCACGUAAAUCUUGUUUAUAACUUAUAUGCUGAGAUGAAAAAAUGACCAUAAGUUUUACGAACACUUGCAUCUACAAAGAAUCAGCGAAUAAGACCAACAGGACCACACAGCAGUCAUCCUGGUCCAACAGGUGCCUUGGCCUAGCCUAUAUAGGAGGGUACAGGCAUGUGGAAACAAAAAACUUUUGGGCUUGCAUUAUGGCCCUUAGUUACCUGAAGCAGGAGCACAUUCGAGUAUGAGGGUGCGAGUGCAGGUCUGAAUAAGUCUGAAUAAGUGAAUUGCUCAGAAAGAAGUUUAGCACCCUAGCUUACGAAGCAUAUGCAGGAGCAAAUUCCUCAAAAUAUUUCAAAACAGAUAUAGCACCCUAGCUAGAAACUUUGCUACUAAGUUCCGGCCAAACAAAUCGAUUAAGAAGGCUUGACAUGUCGUGCCUAUCAGACCUUCACAGUAUCAUAAACACUCCAUAGGGAAAUGGCUGGACCAGAGAUUUCAAUGUAAAUAAACCAGUUGUUCUAACAAAAAAGGGAGAACUGCUUCCAUAGGUGUAAAGUUACAUGAAGAUCAUUAUUUUACUUCUUUUGACAUGCUUAAACAAAUCGUCGAAUAGAUUACAUGCUCAUAGGUGGGCCAGGAACUUCACCCAGGGCAAAAGCAAGGCCUGAAGCUAAGCCCAGUGAAGUGGAUGGGUUUAGCCUGGCCAAGGAUAUCCCUAUAGGUGGCAUGACCUAAAGAUAAAAUGUAGAGGUACAACUAACAGAACCUCUACUGGUUUCUAAGAAUCUUAGAAUAAAAAAAAGUAUUGUAAAUUUAGACAAACACAUUCAAAGGACUCUAAUUAAUGAGCAACAAAUUGUAGAAGUGUUAGAACUAAGGAAUCAAGAAAAGGAUUGUAGCUUAACAGCCCACCCCCUGAAAAAAAAAAAAAAGAGCCACACUCACAUGCACAGAGAGAGAGAGAGAGAGAGAGAGAGAGAGAGAGAGAGAAGAANNNNNNNNNNNNNNNNNNNNAGAGAGAGAGAGAGAGAGAGAAGGAGAGUAAAAGCAAACAAAGAAACAUUUCUAAAAUGACAUCCUUCAAUUCUGCACCUAAAUUUUCAAUAAUCAUCAUUGUUUUAAAUUAAACUUGUCCAUCUAUGAUGCAUGACCGCCAAUAUCCAGGAUUUACAUAUUGAGGGACUUGAAAAGAAGAACAAAGAUGAGAAUGCUGGGAAAGAAGCAUAUAGGAGAAAGGAAGGGCUUCAUACAUUAUGUGAACCAAAGUGCCAAUUUACUCAGGAAUGUUGAUGUCAGCAUAUGUCAUAAUAAAGUCUCCAUACCUCAUGACCCUACUUCAACAUCAAAAUCAAUCACCAAAAGGUUCCCUCAAGGUCGAUUAAUGACAUGGUAAUUAAACACAUUCAUGUUCGACCUUCUCUUGGAAGUAUGUACUCAGAUCUAAGAGAUAGUGAUUGAGGCAUGAUGCCAUGCCCUAAAACAUUCUGAUCUACUAGAAGAAUUCAGAUAUUACACUAUAAUUUGAGCCAAUCACAACUUGAACCAAACAUAGUCAGAGAACAUUUCCACCCUUGAUGGAAAACUAAACAAAAACUCAAAUAAAUAUAUUUUCCAUGAAGCAUAGUUCAAAUCCAUCCCUUCAGGCCCCCCCCCCCUUUCUUUCUCCUCAUGUGCCAGAACACCCGCAACCUUUGCCUUACUGGAAUUAGCACAUCAUACUACAAGGAAGUUGAGCAAGAACAGAGGAAGAAAUCAGGUACCUCAUAUCCUACUACAAUGGGCAUACCCAAUUUGUAGUAGUCCUAAAUUCAAAAUCAAACUUCCUGUCCGAAAAUGUCUUAAGAGUGCAUUUAGGUUCUUCAACUAAUUUCACAUAUGAGUUCACUAGGAUCGCAACGAAGCCAGGUUAAACCAGAUCUAAUUUAACUACAUCUAAUCAUAUUGGAAACUCAGGUCUCGAUCAUAAAUAUGUUCCCUUCCAAAAGCCAACUCAAAAACCAUUAAUUCAGAAUUGGAUCCAAGUCCAAAAACUAGACCAGGAAUGCAAUUCGAUAAUGUUUUGAGUUCAUGCCAGGAUAAAAGGCAAACCCAAGCCAAGGCCACUUCUAAUAGUGUGACUGAUAAAGCAUUGCCUUUUAGCUUUAGGGUCAAUCAUAAUAGUGUGACUAGUAUGUUUACCUUACUACCUCUAAUACAAAUGCUUGUAUAAAUUGAAUUUGAAACCGUGGCUUCCUCAAGACCCCCCAUCAGUUAACCAAGAUCAACCAAAGGACCGAAAUAUGAUAGCAAUUAUAAAGUCCCAGAUAAGUAGUAAGCCCAAGAGAACAAGGGAUUAUAUCAACCCUUCAAGCCCAAAUAAGGCCCAUUCCAAGUCAGCUCCUCAAAGGUCAUAAAUGUAACAACCAAGUCAUCUCCCUCACACCUGCAGAGUUCUGUAGAACCAUUUUUCUUCAAAUAUCACAUAAUUGUUCCCUCUCAUUCUCUUUUACCUUUGAAUCACUAGAUUCCAUGGAAAUCAAACCCACUGGGGUCUCUUCAAGCAAGAACACUUUCAUUAAAAAGAUAGCUUGUCAAAAUUCCCACAUAAAAUGCCCAGAUAAAUGGGAGUCAUCAGGCAUCCAAAACAAAAUUUCAGCCAAAUUUAUUGAAGACUGUGUUAUCUAACAUGCACACAUCCAUCGACACCUCAAAGCUUUUCACCACUUUACCCAAACAAUUUAUCUUUGCAUGAUGUAAGAGAUGUAUGAAAGAUGCACCAGAAGCAAAGAUCAAACGCCAAUCUAUGAUGUAGCAGAUGUACGAAAGAUGCACCAGGAGCAAAGAUCAAAGGCCAACCUUCUGCGAUAAAGGAAGACCGGAAAUAAUCAGCUCAGAAAAAAGCCUACCAAGUUGAGAUGGAUUUGCUGUAUUAUUUUGAAGUUCAUUCCAACCAGAAAUAGAACACUUUUCUUGAUAUAAUUAACACAGAGACUUCCACAAACCAUUUACUUUUGGAUCUCCAUGUUACACACCAGCAUCCCAAAAUGUCCAACAACAAUGCUAGUCCAAAAAGUUGGAGUUUCAUUCACCAAUGUUACUUCCUUCUAGAAACAUUUAAGGCAUUACAUCUGUCAACCUCUUGGCAACUCCAGCAAACAAGAGCAUUCCCAAAUCUUUUUACCCUCCAACUUCUAACAAAACAGCAAACCAUAGGUUUGCUGGUUCAGAGAAUGGUAAAUAUCUCCAUUGUAGUCUAGGAAAUGGUGGUCCUAGUAGUUUUGGGGUGAUACAUUCAACCACCUCAAUUGAUAACAAGAAUCUACUUCAGUUUCUUGACUAAUGUUCUCCAAACUAAAUGAUCAAAGACAACAUAUUUGAAGAUGCAUGAAGUAUGUUUAAUCUUGCCAUUUUUUAUUCAGGAAAAUUCAUUAUGGACUUAUAUUAGUUAUAAGGUUAUUUAUUUUAAGUGUACUGAAAAUUUGGAACAUUGAGAAUAAGGUUGGAUUCAAGGGGGUAGUAAUGACACCUUCCUCUAUUUUCCCUUUUUUAAUUAUAUUUUGAUGUUUCAAAAAUUAUGAGAUUUUGGGCAGGUUAUUUAGGGUCUUAUGUCUCUACUUUUCUUAUGUAUCAGACCAUGAAUUUCUAUAAAUAAUGGCAGGUAAUUUGAUUCAAAGAAUAAAAGGAUAGAAGCAUGUUUGAGGUUAACCACUCUCAAAGUGGUCAUUAGGAGGUUCGGAUCCCCUUGAAGUGAUCCAUCUUCUCCUUUUCUAUAUAUUUCUUCAUUACUGAGAUACUCUGAGUUCAAACCAGCACCCAUGCAUAAUCUCUCCUCAUGUAAUUUUCUCUUUAGAUUUCUCACCCAUGGGUUUUUCUUAAGCAAUUAUCUCAGGAAUUUGUUUCCCAUCCAAGAAGCUGAAUUGAAGACCACAAAAAAUAAACUCUACGAGGAUUAAAAGAAAAUACAAAUUUCGUUGCUGAUAUAGUGAAAUUAUCCCUCUGAACUUUCAAUGCCACCAUGAAUCAUCUCUCAGACACAUAGAUGAAGACAUAUUGGCCAAAUCAUGUCCAGCCUAUGUUUCCAUAUCAACCAUGUGUUCAUAGUUUAAUCAAGAAACCCAGAAAUCAGCAAGAAAACAUGCAUUUUUUUCUCGACUUUGAUAUAGUCUCUCUCCAAUAAAAUCACAGUCGAACAAUCCGGCCCCUUACAAGAACUUGAACCUUUCUUCUCAUGAAAUAAAAAGACACUUCGUCGUUGAUGUCUUUUACCACAAUUAUGGCAUGGGAACCCCAUGCAUCAUAGAAUUUCCAGGACAUAUUUGUAGCUUCGUAAUGAAAUGAACACAUGACAACAAGAAAGAAUGGCGAACUAUGGGAAAAGCAAGAAUCUGCGACCACUCAAACAGGUAUGGUUUGAUCAAUUAUAUAAGUAGAUCAUGUCUUGACAGAGUGGUCAAGAAGUUGUUAAAACCUAAAAAUAAGUAAUUAACCAGACAAAUGGAAUUUUUCACCCAAAAUAUCCUCUAAAAUUACUAAAAUCAUCAAUAAAUGGAAAACUCACCCCAGGAGAGAGAUCAAACCCAAUCGCGUUCGUCCCUACCCCCGACAAAAGCAUCAAAGGAUGGUUCCUCGACGGCGCCUGAAAAUCCCCAUCAAUCGAUAUCAAGAAAAGAGAAAAACAGAGACAGAGAGAGAGGACGAAGGGACUGGGAGCAGAGGGACCUCAGGGGAGGGGGUAUAACGCCAGAGGGCGAGCCUCCACUCGGUGCCCGGGACCGGCACGUAGUGCAGCUCGUCAGCCGUGCAGACGGCGGGCUUCUUGUCCUCCUUCACGGCGAAGGCGGCCUCCAGCGAGGCGGAGAGCGGCCUCGGAGAGGGAUCCGCCCGGGCCGAGACAGGGCGAUACACCGCUGGCCCGCCUCUCCUCCCGCCGCCCCAUGGCGGGAUCGAGACGUGAUAGGAGGCCGUGGCCACCGCCGCCAGGGUGGAGCGCACGUCGGCGGGGUGGAGGAGGAACACCAUCGCCUCUGAUCGCCUUCUCUUGUGCUGCUAUUUCUUGUUUUUUUUUUUUCUUGGUGAAUGGCUGCUGCUAUUCCUGGUUUAGUUUCUUGGAAACUAUAUAAGCACUAUUCCCCCACGUUUUCCUCUUCGCUCGCCCUUUCCCUUCCAAGUGGAGAUCAUGUUAUAACUGGUGAUGGCGAAGGGCUUUUGCCCGCGAAUAGACAAAGACCGGAAGCUGCAGCAAGACACGGGGAACAGAAUAAUGGAGAAGAAAAGUAUUGGCUGUGGAUGCAUCCACGAACACCGGUCAUGUGUUUGUUCAAAUGUAUCUUCGAUGCUUGUUAGAAAAGUGGCUGAAGCUCCUAUUCUAUAUAAAUUACUAAAUAAAAAUAUUUCAUUUUGGAGAUAUUAAUUUUUUAUUUUUGUUAUUAAUUUCACUUUCGAUGGAUGCUACAGUGAUGUUCUGGAAAUUAUCUGACCACUAAUCGUCACCUACCUCCUAACUACUCCACCAAAACCAAUCCCUCACUGCCGCGUGGAAUCAAGGAGUUGAAUCCAAGCAUCGAGCCGUCAUAGUGGGUUUUGCUUGCGAAAGACUUGUGAUAUCUAAAAUUAAUUUUGUAUAAAAAAAAAAGCUAAACUUCUAACAUUAAUGAAUAGGUGACAAAGAUAAGCUACGCGAUAAAUGAAAUUUCACUAAAUCUGCAGCUAAAAUAAAAGGCACAAAUCCACUUAGGACACAUGAAAAUGUAUAAGGGAUAGCAAUUGAGUUAGGUAAAAAUAGAUCAAAUGCAUAAAUAUCUGUCCCCCAACUAUAACUUAUUAGAUGGGGCACAAAUUUAACUUCAAAUAUGGACCGACAACCUAACUUGAUCCGCAUAACUCGGGUCAUGAUCUAACCUAAUUACUAAACAAAUCAAAAUGAGUUAAAAUAUGUUUUGACCACGAAUAUGAAUCAAAUCUAUUUAAUAAAUAAAUUAAAUCAAAUCGACCAACUUAUGAUUUGAUCCUAUUUAUUCUAAAUAUGAAUCCACUUAAACCAUAUUGAUCGUGAGCCGGCUUGACAAGUUAUAUUAUAUAUUGCCAACCCUACAGCAGAACUUGUUUUUAUGCUAAAGUUAGAGCUUUAUUUUAAAAUAAGAUGAACUAUGCUCCUCUCAAGAUAAAAGAGUGUUUACCCUCAAUUCUAAAAUUAACAGUAGGGAAUCUAAAUUAAAGAUGCACAACAUUAUUCUUUUUUUUUUUUUUUUGAAUUCAAGCACAGCAUCGUCUUUAGUCUAUCAAUAAGAAUCCCGGGAAACAAAAGAUCACAUAUGUUAAUGGCUUCUAACCUACCUAUUCCAUGGAUGCAAAAAUAGAUUGUUUUCAUUAUGUUAUUAUGCUAACAUACAUGAAAACUAUUUGAAUUUGAUCCAUACUGAUCAUGACCUAUGCAUUUUAAAAUGUGUAUGGAUUGAAAGCAAUAAAUUUUUUGCACCAUAUCAUGUUAAAUGCCAUCCCAUAUCAUGUUAAAUACUCAUUUUUUUUUUGCACCAAUUACACGCAUAGAUUAGAGAUCACCAUAAUAUUUUUUUUUAUAUAUAUUUUUAAUUAUAUAAAUCAAAUCAAUGGUAUAAAUCUUUAAUUUGCAUGUCUCAUUAUUGAUUUUAAAAUCAUGAAAAAUAGUACAAGAGUAUAGCCCAUCUCUUUUAAAAUUGUUCGUAGGAACUUAAACUUGUAUACACUAUAAACUACUCUAGCCUCUUAAAAUCGUGUGGUAUGUGCAUGAUAGAUGCAAGAUCCACGUUAUUUGAGGUCUUUUGUGGAGUUGGAUUGGAUCACGUAGGGGAUGGAUGGAUGUCGUAGAUAACCUAAUCCAACCUUCAUAAUUUAUUUAAUAAAUCAUUGAAUUAGAUUAAAUAGGUUAAAUAAAUCUUAAAUGAAUUGGAUCAUGGCCUAAUCUAACUAUUAAAUAAGUCUAAAUGAGUUUAACAAGUCUUCACUGUAAAUCUAAACUCAACCUAUUUAAUAAAUGCAUUAGAUUGGAUUAAUUAAUUUAUGAUAGACCCACUUAUUCCCAAUUUGAACUCACUUUUUUCUUUUGAGGGUAACAAAAUUUGAACCCACUUAAAUUGCAUUAAUUAUGAGUUGGGUUGGUGGGUUAGGUUAUAAAUGCCACUCUGAUAAUAGAGCUCAUUUUGUGGUACUAAAGUUGUAGUCUAAGUAUUUUAAAAUCAUAUAAACUAUGUUCCUUUUGAGAUGAAAGGAUAUUUGUUCUUAAUUUAAAAAUUAAUAAUGAGGCAUUCAAAUUGAGGAUCCACAUUAUUGAUUACGGUCACUAAAAAUAUCUAGAAAUAAAAAUAAGAAAUAUCUUAAUAUGCUAAAAUGCAUAGCAAGUCAUUUAAAUUAAUCAUUAUCAAUCAUAAUCUACAUAUGUUAAAACAUGCAUAGAUUGAAAAAUAAAAGAUUUUAAUACUUAAAUCAUAAUAAAAUAUGGUCUCCUAUAUGCUAAGUAUUAUUUGCACUAAUUAGACAUAUAGAUUAGAACCAUUAAAAUAUAUAAUUUUUUAUAUUUUAAAUAUUUUAAUUAAAAAAUCAUGAUCAAUGGUAUCAAACUUCAAUUUGCAUGCCACAUUACUGCUUUUGAAAUUUCCCGAAAUAGACAUCCUAUACUCUGGAGAGAAGCCUAAGCAUCUCUUUUAAAUUACUUGGACAGGAAGUUAAAAAGUGGAUGCAACAUGACACGCUCUUGCUGCUCAAAAUCAUGUGACAUGUGCAUGCUAGAUGUAAGAUUCAUAUUAAAAUGAGCUGUUUAAUUUGCGGUCCAUGCCUGUGUACUCCUAUAUAUAUAUAUAUAUAUAUAUAUAUAUAUAUAUAUCGUCCAAUGGUCCUUAAGCUCUAUUCCUUAUCUCUCUUCAACAAUCACGUUGGAAAGUUAGAAAAAUAUAUAAAAUCUUCAAUUGCACUAUGCCAAAGUGAAAAUAUAAGCAAAAUUAUAAAUUUAGAAAUAAAUUAAGCUGCUUUGCAGUAACAACAUGGAUAAACUUAUUCGAUAUCACCAAUGUUCUUGAGUAAAAAACAAAAAAUGCAUGCUCCAAAUGGUAAGCAAAUGACUAUGUAUGAGAGUACAUAUUGGCCUGAGAAAGAAUAAGCUUUCCACUGCCACUCUAUUGUCUCUCACUAAGCAAGAGCAACAAAAGCUAGAUAAUAAUAUAUCACGUGCGUUGUAAUUGAGUCCAAGCUUCUACUACUUUAGGAAUGGGCAAGUUUGCCAAAUAAAAAGUUAAAAGAAUUAGAGGACACGAGCUCAAAAGGCCACUAUAACAGCAUGGCAAGCCCCGUUAGAAAGCUUAGGUGUGAUGAGAGAGAAAUUAUAUCCUGCAUCAUGUACACCAACAUGACCACUAUAAUAGCAUGGCAAGCCCUCAUUAGAAAGUUUAGGUGUGAUGAGAGAGAAAUUAUAUCUUACAUCAUGUACCCCAAUAUGGUCAUACAUCACACUAAUCACCUUUACUCAAUCCUAGCCAAUCACUUUGGUUCAUUUUCUAUGGUCAAUUAUUGAGAUGAGCACAUAAUGAAUGGAGCCCACAAAAACGAGUUGAGAUGACUGACAUAAUGCAUGGCCAUGUGGUGCAUGCAGUGUAUGAUAUAAUUUCUCAUAAUGAGAAGCUCAUAGGUGGCUCUAUGAUACAUCUAUUCUUGAUGGUACCAACCUAUAGCUCAAAUCACAAUGGAGCAACCUUAAUAUUUCUAUCUAAGAAAAAUAAUUUCUCAUAAUGAGAAGCUUAUAGAUGACUCUAUGACACACCUACUCUUGAUGGUACCAACUUAUAGCUCAAAUCACAAUGGAGCAACCUUAGUAUUUCUAUCUAAGAGAAAAUAAGCCUUCCCCUGCCGCUCUACGAUCUCUCACAAAACAAGAAUAGUAGAAGCUAAACAAUAAUAUAUCAAGUGCAUCAUAAUUAAGUCCAAGCUUCUAUUGCUUUAUGGAACAGGUAAGUUUAUCAAACAAAAGUUAAAAGAAUUAGAGGACAUGGGCUCCAAAGAUCACCAUAACAGCAUAGCAAGCCCCAUUAGAAAGCUUAGACAUGAUAAGAGAAAAAUUAUAUCUUGCACUAUGUGCACCAAUAGAGCCGUGCACUAUAUCAAUCAUCUUAGCUCAUUCUUAGCCAAUCACCUUGACUCAUCCCCGUGAGCCAAUUAUUAAAAUGAGCACAUAAUGGAUGGAACUUAUAGAAACGAGUCGAGAUGUUUGGCCUCAUGCAUAGCGUCAUGGUGUAUGUAGUGUAUGACAUAAUUUCUCAUGAUGAGAGGCUCAUAAGUGGGUCUAUAGCCCACCUACUCUUGAUUGUACCAACCUCUGGCUCAUAUCACAACGAAGCAAUCUUGGUAUUUCGACAUGGCCCACCCUCAUCACCUAUCUUUCAGCUGUAACAUGGAAAUCGUCGGAGCCUGAGAGCACUACUGUGGAUAGGAGACAUGUGGAGUAUGAAUAUAGAACUAAAAGAGGAUGAGAUCCAAGGACUAAAAGAAAAUGGCUGGCAACCAGCCAGCCAGACACCAAGCUACUGGAGAUAUCUGUGGUACUUCCUAGUGGUUUACGGUGAUCAAUAUGCUUCAGAAGACAAGUAGGCCGUCCUUUAACAUCUUUGUCACUAAACCAUCAUUAAAUCUGCUUCCUACCUUCUAACUCACAGGCAUCACAGCACAUGCCUGAGCAAAGCUUUCAUGAUGAAAGGAAACUAAUCCAUUAGGAAAUAAUAAUAACAAUAGUAUUUUUCCAAAGAUUUUUAAAUAUUUCCAAGUGAUCCAACAUUGCAAAAGCAAACUUACUGAUUUAGCUUCCACAAUCCUAUGAUUACCAGAGUUUCCAACACAAAGCGGGUACACAAAUGACUGGCAUUAAAGAUGUUCCUGCCUGCACAUUUACAUUAUACAUUAAUGGCAAAACAGUCAUCAAUAGAUACUUCUGAACAAGCUAGUCACAAAGUAUAUCAACAGCAAUACAGUGGAAGAGAUCCUAAGAAAGAACCAUAUCUCAUUAUUAAGCAAAAUGAUGCCAAAGCUUGGUUUCUCAAAAUGCUCCCUGUUCAGCAGAGUAACCUGUGUUCUGCACUUCAGAUAUCAAGAAGGCAGUGAGAGGAUAUAUGGAAAUCGCUACCUUGGAUUGUUACAGAUAUUUUUAGCUUGCAUUAGUUAACCUGUCCAGUGUGUCCACAACAUGCCUCAUUGAUGGUCUCUUAUCAGGAUUGGCUUGUACACAAGCCGAAGCAAUUUUAAGUACUGCAAUAAUCUCAUCUUUCUUAUCUAGUUCUCGAGCUAGAAAAGGAUCCAAAUUAUCCAAGAGGGGCUUGUUUUCAUCAAUGCAGAGCUGAACCCAACGAACUAGAUCCAUUUCCAAUUUCUCUAACAGAACAAUUGGAGAUCUACCAGAGAUCAUUUCGAGUAAAAUCACCCCAUAUGAGUAAACAUCCCAUUUUUGGGAUGGUUUUAGUGUUUUCAAUGCUUCAGGAGCUUGAUAACACGACCCUUUACUCACAAGGGGACUGCUUGAAACAUCUAACUGCUGGUUCUGAGUUCUUUCAGCAGCUAUCCUCUCCGACUGCGGCAAUGCGGAUUCUCCUGUUAUGUUAGCGAGCUGCCCGAGGCCAAAAUCAGAAAUGUAAGGUUCCAUGUUCAGUCCAAGAAGUAUAUUGUUAGGUUUAAGAUCUCCAUGAAUGUACUUCUUUGGGCUGAAAUCAUGCAAAAAGGCCAAGCCCUUGGCUAUCCCUUUCAUGAUCUUUAGUCGCACAUCCCAUGGUAGAGGUGCAAAAGCCAUUGUUCCAUCUCUCCCUGAAAUCAGACGCAUAUGUAACAAGCAAUACUAAAUAUUUAAAUAGUCAAGCAAAGCUAUAUUUCAUAUAUGAGGUAAACAAUAUUGAGUCAGAGAAGUGAAAUAUAAAACACAUCUUAAGUCUUGAGAGCUGAAGUACUGAUGGUUAUUGCUUGAGCAGCAAACAGGAUCAUAUAAUCAAUUCAGGAAAGGAUGUUGAAAUAGAGUUGAGAAGGGGAGAUGAUGAGAUAACAUCAAACAUAUCAAAUAUCAUAAUUACCAUAAAAACAUACUUCAAGUAAGAUACCAUAUGAUCAAAACUGAAUCAAGUUUCUGAUAUCCAGCUUCCCCAAAUGAUUAGGUGAAGCCUGUGCAGUUCGAUUAUUACUUUGCAUUUGAUGUUGUGAUUUGCUCUACUUAAAAUAUUUAAAUAGUCCCCAUAGUGUUUCUAAAGCAAUCUAGGUAUUGAUUUGGAUUUCUUAGAGCUGCAGUGCAUAAAUUAUGAGUUAUAUUACAGAUAAAGAUAUCAGAUUUCCUCUGUACAACUAAUAACUUUGCAUGGAAUGAAUGCGAGCUUGCCAUAACAAACACCCUUUGCAUAACAUAAUGAAAUUAAAGCACUUAUGGAGUGAGUUCGUACCAUGAAUUGCAGUAGAGAGGUUGCCGUUAGGUAUGUAAUCAUAAAUAAGCAGUUUUUCAGCAACUGACCAAUAAUAAGCUCUGGGGACAACAAUAUUAGGAUGCGUAACCUUUCCAAUAGCUUCCACCUCCAUCUGGAAAUCUUUAAACCUUAGUGAACCUCCAUCAUCCAACCUCCUAACAGCCAAGAUUAAUCCAUCUUCCAGCACAACCUUGUACACGAUCCCCCUCCCACUUUUCCCCAGGACAAAAGCAGAAGCCUUCAAAAGCAUAUCCAAAUUGAAGCUGACAUGCUGGUCCAAUGGCACUAGAUCAUAUUGCUCAACAUUUUCGGACCAGGACUCUGACUCUUCUUUCCUAAAGCACAUGCACUCCUUCCUUCCCUCGGUCCCUUUGUCGCAAUUGCCACCCUCUUCCCUCCUCUUGGAAGAAGUCUCCCACUGGUAGCAGCAGUAGAACACCAUUGCUAUAAUGCCAAUUCCAACCACAUCACUCACUACAACCGCAGCCACUGCAGUUCUACUCAGUCCUUGGCGGCUGCUGCUGCUGCUGCCAUUCUCAUUGUUAUUUGCUUCCAACGCUGGAGGUGUGUAAGUGGUGGGCAUAAAAGGAUCCGACGAAGGUACACCGGCAGAGCACAGGUUCUUCAAUGGUGGGCCGCAGAGGCCGGGGUUUCCAAUGAACGCAGUCGGGCCUCUGUUCUCCAGAGCUCCAUUCUCCGGUAUCGGACCGCUGAGAUUGUUGUAAGUGAGAUCGAUAUAGACCUUCUCCGGCAAAUUCCCCAGGCUCGGAGGGAUUGCACCGGAGAACAUGUUGUGGGAGAGGUCCACAGUUCCUUUAAGGCUAGAGAGAUUACCGAUGCCACCGGGGAUCGAACCAUCGAAUCCAUUGUAGGAAAGGUCUAGUUUCUCCAACUCAAUGAAGCUGUUGCCGAAGCCAUCAGGCAAGGAAUUGGUGAAGUUGUUGUGGCUGAGGACGAGAGUCUUGAGCCUCCUGCAUUGGACCAAGGAGCUGGGUAUGGAGCCAUUGAACAAGUUUCGUGAAAGGUCUAAGGUUUGGAGGUAAGAGAGAUUGCCGAUCUCCGGCGGGAGAGAGCCGGAGAGGAAAUUCCCGUAGAGAACCAGGCUCUGGAGGCCCCUGGCGGCGAAUAGCUCGGGGGGUAGUAUACCAUAGAGCCAGUUGUUCCUGAGGUUGAUGUGUCCAAGGGAAGGCAGGGAGCCGAGAGCAGAGGGGAGGAAGCCUGAGAGCCUCUUUUUGGGGAAGCUGAGGGAGACUACCACGCCUUCUCUGCAGAUGAUCCCACUCCAAGAGCAUGGGUUUGGGUCAGAGGAGUUCCAGUCACGGAGGGAGCCUUCCGGGUCCUCUCUGAUGGAGGCCUUGAAGGAGAGCAGGGCAAAGCCUUCCUCAUUCAAGGAAUCCACAAGAGGAACACAGGGGUAGAAGAAGAGGAGGAAGAGCAACAGGUACAGGAGAGAUGGUGAUAGCCCCAUGAAUGGAGGAAGGAGUGUGAGACUUGACCAUUAGAAGGGUGGAGGCAGGGAAAGGGGGGGAAGGAAGAGAAAGUGUUAGAGAGAAUUCUGCUUCUUUGCGUACAAAACUCAGUUGAUACGCUCACACGAUCGCACUAAUUUUUUACCAUCAUAGCAGCCGUUGUCGGAGUAUUAACGGCUAUUACUCCGUUCCAACCUCCAAGUAAUCCAUACAUCCUCGGUUUUAAAUUCGAUGAGGCUUUAGAGAGAAAAAAAAAAUGAUAAAUGUGGAGGGCAUCUAUCUAAAACUUCAGGUCAAGUAUCGACUUCUAAUUCUCUUCUAGCACCAGCAAAGAGGUAGAAAUUGAUACUUUUUGUCUGAAUGAAACGUAGAAAUUGAAAAUUACACCGGUUUUGUUUCAGCUCACCUUCCGCUGAGUAUAAUUUAACAUAAACUAAUUACAGAAUCAUCUAUAAAACAAAUUUAUUUGUAAUAAAUGAAAAAGUAGUUGAUUUGCUUUAAUUUUAAGCAAUUGCCCUGUUUUGCAAAUAAGGUGAUAGUAGAAACUGAGUUUUAUUCCAAAUUUAAUGAGCUAUUAGACUAUUAAAUAGUUUUGCACAUCCAAAUCAUGGUUCUCAUCCCCAAUCACAUGGGCAUUGUACUAUCGAAGACAAGUAUCAAGAGCCUUACGUAUGGCCCUUGUUUACAUCCAUGAUUACCAUCUCUCUCCAUUGAUUAUAUUUGGCUUCACGUACGUGGUAUUGGUCCUCUCUACUAAUUAUGUUUGUUUUCUUGGUAAUGCACUAGAAGAGGCAAAUUAUUAGUGGUGACUUCAGCAAGAGCUCUUCCAGUCAGUGGAAACGAAGAAAGAUAGAAGACAAUCAUUGAUUUACUUUGCAAGAAAAAGUUAAAGAAAGUUUUGAAGGGAAACCUAUAAGCGAAUAAAGGAAUAUACCAUAAGGGGAAAAAGAAAAAGAAAAAGAAAAAAGGGUAA
rnacentral:lncRNA from 1 species